rnacentral:rRNA from 1 species
AUACGUAGGGGGCUAGCGUUAUCCGGAUUUACUGGGCGUAAAGGGUGCGUAGGUGGUUUCUUAAGUCAGGAGUGAAAGGCUACGGCUCAACCGUAGUAAGCUCUUGAAACUGGGAAACUUGAGUGCAGGAGAGGAGAGUGGAACUCCUAGUGUAGCGGUGAAAUGCGUAGAUAUUAGGAGGAACACCAGUUGCGAAGGUGGCUCUCUGGACUGUAACUGACGCUGAGGCUCGAAAGCGUGGGGAGC